AUUCAGCUGACGAGUUCCAGAUAGAACGAAACGCACGUCCUAGAU
rnacentral:hammerhead_ribozyme from 1 species